rnacentral:rRNA from 1 species
UCGUAAGGGUAACCUGCGGAAGGAUCAUUG